rnacentral:lncRNA from 1 species
CAGGCCUAGGCGCGGGGCAGGACGGGACCGGUGAGCGGCUCCUCCAAACAGCUAUAGAGAUCCAGAAAUGCCUGUGGAAAGCUACAGAGGACUUGGGCAAGGCAUUAGAGCUGGACGUUGUGGUCCUUGGGGGAGCCAACCGGGGAGGUGCCUAUGAUCUUUCUUUCCAAGUUUGAGGGUUCAGGUCUGUGUUCGCCUGCUGGUUAGACCGAUUUAAGUUUUAGAGUCCCAGGAGUUCUGGGCGAGCUGCAGCCUAGGGGCCUGGAAGGCCAGGAAGACUUGAAGGAUCUGUGUUGUUUCAACAAAUAAUAUGCUCACCUGUUUCAGGGAAUUAUCUAUAUCCCUUAAGUGGAUUUUCGAUCUUGUGUUUCUGAGGCAAGCAGUUAAGAAGGGAAGAUGAACAUAAAGUAGGGAAGAGCAAGAAUGAAUUGGAACCUAAGACAUGAGCUGGUCCUUCUUUCACUGUCUCCAACUUUAAAGAUAUGAGUAUCCUUGCUAGAGGAGCUGACACUCUUUGCCACAGGACUAGACACACACAUGGCUCAGGAAUCAAAAAAGGUGAAGGAAGACUCAGGGAAAAGCUUCUGCCCCAUCCCAACAAGGUGAACCAGCUGAUUGGUGACAAAGUAGAUGAGCCGCAGUAGCACCUAGUGUCCCUGCACCACCGUUUCAAGUAUAAAACUGGAGGGAUGCUUCAGUUCUCCCCUUCAAGGCUUACACAACCAUGUCUUUGUUGGGCUAUUCUAACCAGAAACAAAAGGAAAGGAAAUUCUGGGAAACAUAGUUUAGCUUAGCAAAGUUGAUAUAUUACAAAAUUACCACUGUCCACUCUGCAUCGAGUUGACAUCCAUACAGACCUCUUUAAAACACACUUUCAAAAUAAAGUCCACACCCUACACAUAAGCUAUCUCUAGAGAAAUUUGAAGUCUGUUUUGCACUGAGGAUAACCACAACAACAAACUGUAAACCUAGCCCAAUUUCUGACUAGACUGAUACCACCGAACCACCGCUAUGCACUCAAGAGCACUAAAGGCCUAGCAGAAGGAAAGACACACUCAUCUCCAAGCAUAAAAACAAUCUUUACUUCAUACCGUGAAGAGAGAAUUGAAAAAAUAAUUUAAGCAAAAAAAAAUACAACAUGACCAACUUUGAACAGAAAGAAAAAAAGACGCAUACAGAAAGGCAAGAAAAAACACAGUCCAAAGAGAUAAAACAAUCAUUAGAACCAGAUUCAUAAGACAUAGACAUUAGAAAUAUCAGAGAAUUUUAAAUAACUGUGAUUAAUGUGAUGAAGGCCCUAAGGGGAAAGGUGAACAAAAUGCAAGCUCAGAUGGGUGAUUUUAGCAAAUAGAUGGAAACUAUCAGGAAAAAUAAAAUGGAAACUAUAAAAAUAAAAAAAUAUAAUAAUAGAGAUGAAGAAUGCCCUCCAUGGGCCCAUUAGGAGACUCAACACAGUUGAGGAAAAAAUCAGACUUGAAGGUAGGUAAAUAGAAAUUGCUGAAACACACACACACACACACAAAAAGAGUGACAGAAACAGAACACAGCAUCCAAGACUGGUGGGAAAAUAUCAACAUCAAAUCAAGAAAUAGCCAGGCGCAGUGGCUCACGCCUGUAAUCCCAGCACUUGGGGAGGCCGAGGCAGGCGGAUCACGAGGUCAGGAGAUCGAGACCAUCCUAGCUAACGCAGUGAAACCCUGUCUCUACUAAAAAUACAAAAAAAUUAGCUGGGCAUGGUAGCAGGCACCUGUCGUCCCAGCUACUCGGGAGGCUGAGGUAAGAGAAUUGCGUGAACCCGGAAGGCGGAGCUUGCAGUGAGCUGAGAUCACACCACUGCACUCCAGCCUGGGCGACAGAGCAAGACUCUUAUCUCAAAAAAAAUCAAGAAAUAAUGGCUGAGAAUUUCCAAAAUUUGUAAGACACCAAACCAAUCCAAGGAGCUCAGAGAACACAGAGCAGGAUAAAUUCUUUAAAAAACUAAGUUUAUUGUAUUCAAACUAAGCUUAUUGUAUUGAUACCUGGUAGUUAUAACUUACCAAAUACACUGCCCAACAUCUCCAGAUGAUCUAUUAUUUCUGAAAGUUUCCUUUAUUACAUUUCUUACUUCAGGGAGAUAUAGCCUUCGCUUCAUGUUAUGGUCAGUGGUGCAGUCAGUAUUCUCAGAAAGAAAGUACUGGUUCCAUUUUACCUCCAUCUUUUGUUUCCUGUCAGAAAACCUACCAUACCACCAAGUACUCCUUCUCUACACUGCCUCUGAUAUUUAAGUAAUUUGAGAAUUCUGUUGAGACUAUCUCCCUUUUUUGGUAUGAUGAAUCUGGUCCUAAAUUGCAUGCCAAAGACUUUGAGCACUAAACUGUAGACCCAGAUCUCAUGUCCCAGACUGGCCUUUUGUUACCCACACAAUGAAUGGGUUAAAUUGCUUGGCAGCGGACAGUCCAAUGACCACAACCAAGGAGGAUUUCCCAGGGGGAUUUUAUUACUUGCGAUAAGUAAGGAGGACACUGGGAAUAAUUCCCCAAAGCAAUGCCUCCCUGAGCAAUGGUGCAAACAUGGCUUUUAUUAGUCUGGUUAGCUGAGUCAUUGUAUGUAGAGGUGGAGUCAAGGCAGCACAGUCCCAGUUGUCGGUCAUGCUGCUACAUAUGUCACAUGUAUAGAAAAUGGUGAAUAAGCUCCUCCUUGGACAGGAUUUUAAGUAUGGUGAUGAGGAAAGUUGGCCAAAGUUCAUCUCCAACUCAGGCAUCUCUGGGUCCAACUGGUCUUUGUUUUUCCUGGGCUAAGCUUCUUCCUGGAACUUUUUAAAACAAAAAUUCAAGAUGUAACAGUUACAAGUGGGUAACUUUUUCUCAGUGCGUACCCAAAAACCCAAGGACCCUGGGUUACACUUUAGGUGCCACCCAUGUGGGACCUAUCAGAAGAGUACUACAAAGGCUUUGAAAACUGAACUGACAUUGGAACCACAACCCUCAGAAGGCUGGUCAAAACUUAUGACUUGAACCCAAAUGGGUUAAUUACCUUUUAAAACAUAAAUGUCAACAUCCUCCACCAAAUUUAACCAAGACCCAGAGCAUCCUAAUGACAUUCAAAAUGUCCAGGAUACAAUCGAUAUUAAUUGGCAGGUGAAGAACCAGGAAAAUCUCAACUCACGUUGGGAAAAAAUGUAACAGAUGCAGAAUGUAAGUUGCCACACAUGUUGGAAUUAUCAAGACUAUAAAGCAGCUAUUCAAAUGGAAAGUUUAAAAGUCUCAGAGAAGUAAUAGAAAAUAUAAAGAAUAGCCCCAUGGAAAUUUUAGAACGGGAAAAUACAAAAACCGUCAUCACAUCAUAUCCAGGGCACAUGCUGUCAACAUUGCUUAUCACUUGUGAUGUUAACCUUGAUCACCCAGCUGAGGUAGUAUUUGACGGGUUUCUCCCCUGUAAAGUUAUUCUUUCCCCUCCCCCUAUUUUACUGUUUAGUGGGAAGUCACUAUGUGCAGCCCAUGUCUAAAAAGGGAGUAGUUGGUGGGCAUGGUGGCUCACGCCUGUAAUCCCAGCACUUUGGGAGGCUGAGUGGGUGGAUCACCUGAGGUCAGGAGUUUGAGACCAGCUUGGCCGACAUGGUGAAACCCUGUCUCUGCUAAAAAUACAAAAAUUAGCCGGGCAUGGUGGUGCACGCCUGUAAUCCCAGCUAUUCAGGAGGCUGAGGCAGGAGAACUGCUUGAACCUGGGAGGCAGAGAUUGCAGUGAUCCUGCCAUUGCACUCCAGCCUGGGCGACAAGAGCAAAAUUCCAUCUCAAAAGAAAAAAAAAGUGAGUAGUUAUAUUUCCCCUCCUUGCGGUGGAGUAUCUACAUUCUUCUGCAUGAGAAAUUUGUCAGUUAUCUCCUAUUUAUUCAAUUAUUUAUAUUAUGAACUCAUGGAUUCCUAUUUUAUACUUUGGGUAUAAUCCAAUACUAUGUUGUUUAUUUUACUGCUCAGAUUAUUCCUGUGUUGGCCAUUGGGAACUUUUUCAGUUGACAUCUGUGUCCCUUUGACAAACUCCUGUCAUUUUGUGGGGAAGAGGGAGUAGCACUUUCUUACUUUCUACCGCUACAAAAUCCUCCAGUCUUAUCUUGUAUUUCUCUUCCCUAACCCUAAAGUCAAUCAUUCUCAUUUCUCUAAUGAUAAAUGAUGUUAAACAUCUUUUCAUAUGCUUUCUUAUUAUCUGUAUAUCUUCUCUGAUGAUUACCAAGGAUGGGAAGGGUAGUAGGGGGAAAGUGGAGAUGGUUAAUGGGUACAAAAAAUAGAAUGAAUAAGAAUUAGUAGUUGAUAGCACAACAGGGUGAUUACAGUCAAAAAUAAUUGUACAUUAUAAAAUAACUAGUAUAAUUGGAUUGUUUAUAACAAAGGCUGAAGGCUUGAGGUGAUAAAUACCCCAUUUACCCUGAUGUAACUAUUACACAUUGCAUACCUGUAUCAAAAUACCUUGUAUACCCCAUAAAUAUAUAACCUACUAUGUACCCAUUUAAAUAAAAAAGUUUUUAAAAAAGAAAUAGUGCUGAG